rnacentral:pre_miRNA from 1 species
UCAAAUUGAAGAACUGAGAUCGAUUGGUGCAUAGAUAUCGUCCAAGAAUAAUUUAAUUUCAAUUCUAGCACCAUUCGAAAUCAGUGCUUUGUAUUGGAA